GGCGGCCUUCCCCGCCGCGCCGCCACUCCGCGUGAGCCUCCAGCGCGCGGCCUCGACUUCUCGCUGCCGCGCUCCGGCGAGAAAGGGAGUCGGUGGCUGGGGCCCUUACCUUGUCUGACGGCUUUGAAGGUGACGGCCUCUGGGCAGCUGUCGAGGACACCCAGCACGUCGUAGAGCGGCAAGCCGGACACGCGGACGCCCUGCACCUCCAGCAGCAGCUCGCCCGCGCCCCCGCCGGGCAGCUCGGCCGCCCCGAGGGCAAGAGUCUGGCUGGUGAAACAGAUGGAAAUCCAGCAUCUUCCUUCCUACUAGAUGUCUGAUUCCAAAGGGACUACAUGUCAAGAGGGAAACACAGAUGAAAGCUGUGACCCAGAAGAACUCCUCCCAUGGAAGAGCAGCACAUGUACCUUCAUGACACUGGGAUGAGACUGUGCUCAUCUUGACUUGGUGACAGUACACUUCUGGAUGGUGCUCAUUUACCCUCUUAAUAAUUUGCAUGAGAAACUAACAUGGUCAGAUUAGGGCUCUUAUUUUGAGCCCCAUGUGAGUGUUAAUCUAAGACACCUGUUGUCCAUCCAGUACCCUGACUACCAAAGCUUCUUCACUGGGAG
rnacentral:lncRNA from 1 species